rnacentral:rRNA from 1 species
AAUUUGAAUUUAUUCAAAUGGAAAGCGGCGGACGAGCGAGUAAUACAUAAGAACUUGCCCUUCACUCAGGGAUAACCCACCGAAAGGUGGACUAAUACCGGAUGCCCUCGUAAGAGGAAAGAUUUAUCGGUGAAGGAGAGGCUUAUGGCCUAUCAGUUUGUUGGCGGGGUAAAAGCCCACCAAGGCUAUGACGGGUACCUGGUGUGAGAGCACGACCAGGCGCGAUGGGACUGAGACACGGCCCAUACUCC